AUGCAUGUGGCCUAAUGGUUAGGGUAUUUGGCUCACAAUCAUAAGGUCAUGAGUUCAAUUCCCACCAGCGUG
rnacentral:tRNA from 1 species